rnacentral:rRNA from 1 species
AUUGAACGCUGGCGGCAGGCUUAACACAUGCAAGUCGAGCGAGCGGCGGACGGAUGCGUAAUGUCUGGGAAACUGCCUGAUGGAGGGGGAUAACUACUGGAAACGGUAGCUAAUACCGCAUCCCAUCAGAUGUGCCCAGAUGGGAUUAGCUCGUAGGUGGGGUAAUGGCUCACCGAGGCGACUAUCCCUCGCUGGUCUGAGAGGCUGACCAGCCACCCUGGAACUUAGACACGGCCCAGACGCCGACGGGAGGCAGCAGUGGGGAAUAUUGAACAAGGGGCGCAAGCCUGAUGCAGCCAUGACGAGUGUGUGAAGAAGGCCUUCGGGUUGUAAAGCACUUUCAGCGAGGAGGCGUUACUCGCAGAAGAAGCACCGGCUAACUCCGUGCCAGCAGCCGCGGUAAUAC